CAGGCCUUGCUGCCAAGAGGCAAGGUUUUCAGUGACUUGGAGAAACAUGUGUCCAGAGUUGGCUCUUGGGUAUGCUCUAUGUAUUCAGUUUUGUAAAUAAUAUAUAGAUUAGAUCAAGUUGUGAUGUAAAAUUUUAACUCAAAUUGGGUACUACUGGUUGGAAUUUUACAUUAACUACAAAUAAGUGAUUAGGAACAGAAGAAAAGAAAUUGGAAAUUUUUUGCUUAGUGAUAUAAAGAUUAUGCUUAGAUUUCUGCCUAUAUCUUGUGUUUUAUAGCUUGUUAGUGAGGCAUGGGCUAAUGCAGAAUGUACUGCAUUUAUGCAAUUAGCAAAUAAUGCUAGUUUUCAUUUUAUGUAUUAUAUUAGCAACAAAAUGGCAUUUAACUGGGUAAAGCUCCUACCUAAGUAUUUGAGUAUUGUGACAUCUCUACUGCAAGGUUUGAGUGAAAGAUUAGUCACAGAUUAGUGAAAAAAAAAAGUAUCUUUUUGUUAAAACUGGCUUAUUUGUAUGGAUCGUUGCUUUUUCACCAGUUUGUAUGGUAUGUCAGCUAACAUUUUCUGUUUUUUUUUUUUUAAUAAUAACCAAACUUCUCUAUCUCAGCUGCAAUAGUGUUCCAUUUUACCACAGAGUAUUUUAUAAAGUAUUAGGUAUUUGUAUUUUUGCUGUCAAAAUAAUGGACAUAACUUUUAGAGUGUUCACAGCUAAGAUCUCUGUAUUUGUUUUUCAACUAACAACUAAUUUUAAAUGUAUUGUAUCUUUUAUUACCUGUUCUCUUAGAUUGUUUUUGCUAGUAACCCUUACUCAGCUUCUGCCUUUGGGGCUUGGACUGAUAAUAUUGCUUGUGUGGAACUGCAGUACUGUGACUCACCAUGGAGCUCAAUGCAGCUAUUGCUUACAA
rnacentral:lncRNA from 1 species